rnacentral:rRNA from 1 species
AGAGUUUGAUCCUGGCUCAGGACGAACGCUGGCGGCGUGCCUAAUACAUGCAAGUCGAACGAGAUCCCGGAGCUUGCUCCGGGGGACAGUGGCGAACGGGUGAGUAACACGUGAGAAACCUGCCCUAGAGACCGGGACAACCGUUGGAAACGGCGGCUAAUACCGGAUGCCUUCGCAUGGUCGCAUGGCCGAGUGAAGAAAUGCUCAGGUGCUCUAGGAGGGUCUCGCGGCCUAUCAGCUAGUUGGUGAGGUAACGGCUCACCAAGGCAUCGACGGGUAGCUGGUCUGAGAGGACGAUCAGCCACACUGGGACUGAGACACGGCCCAGACUCCUACGGGAGGCAGCAGUAGGGAAUCUUGCGCAAUGGGGGCAACCCUGACGCAGCAACGCCGCGUGUGGGAUGACGGCUUUCGGGUUGUAAACCACUUUCAGUGAUGACGAAAAUGACGGUAAUCACAGAAGAAGGUCCGGCCAACUACGUGCCAGCAGCCGCGGUAACACGUAGGGACCGAGCGUUGUCCGGAUUUAUUGGGCGUAAAGAGCUCGUAGGCGGUUCUGUAAGUCGGAUGUGAAAACUCAGGGCUCAACCCUGAGACGCCAUCUGAUACUGCAGUGACUAGAGUCCGGUAGAGGAAGAUGGAAUUCCUGGUGUAGCGGUGGAAUGCGCAGAUAUCAGGAGGAACACCAAUGGCGAAGGCAGUCUUCUGGGCCGGUACUGACGCUGAGGAGCGAAAGCAUGGGGAGCAAACAGGAUUAGAUACCCUGGUAGUCCAUGCCGUAAACGUUGGGCACUAGGUGUGGGGUCUUCUAACGGAUUCCGUGCCGUAGCUAACGCAUUAAGUGCCCCGCCUGGGGAGUACGGCCGCAAGGCUAAAACUCAAAGGAAUUGACGG